GACGAACGCUGGCGGCGUGCUUAACACAUGCAAGUCGAACGGAAAGGCCCUGCUUUUGUGGGGUGCUCGAGUGGCGAACGGGUGAGUAACACGUGAGUAACCUGCCCUUGACUUUGGGAUAACUUCAGGAAACUGGGGCUAAUACCGGAUAGGAGCUCCUGCUGCAUGGUGGGGGUUGGAAAGUUUCGGCGGUUGGGGAUGGACUCGCGGCUUAUCAGCUUGUUGGUGGGGUAGUGGCUUACCAAGGCUUUGAAGGGUAGCCGGCCUGAGAGGGUGACCGGCCACAUUGGGCCUGAGAUACGGCCCAGUCUCCUACGGGAGGCAGCAGUGGGGAAUAUUGCACAAUGGGCGGAAGCCUGAUGCAGCAACGCCGCGUGCGGGAUGACGGCCUUCGGGUUGUAAACAGCUUUCGCCUGUGACGAAGCGUGAGUGACGGUAAUGGGUAAAGAAGCACCGGCUAACUACGUG
rnacentral:rRNA from 1 species